UCUCCGUUGGUGAACCAGCGGAGGGAUCAUUACCGAGUUUACAACUCCCAGACCCCUGUGAACAUACCAUUUGUUGCCUCGGCGGUGCCUACUUCGGCAGCCCGCCAGAGGACCCAAACCCUUGAUUUUAUACAGUAUCUUCUGAGUAAAUGAUUAAAUAAAUCAAAACUUUCAACGACGGAUCUCUUGGUUCUG
rnacentral:misc_RNA from 1 species